AAAAUUGUAGAAAUAUUCAAAAGUAGCUCACGAUCGCGUUUUUGUUCUGCGGCUACGUUAACGGAACACCAAUCAAGUAAUCGAUCUUCAUGCAUGACUAUGGCUUCAAUAUUCAAUGGUAUAAAAUAUCAUGUUCUGCUUGUCGUAGACUCAAAAAGACUUCAAGUUGGAAUAGAUCUACGAAGACUAAAGAACGUUCAUGUGUGGUUUAGCAAUUGUACAUGCCCACGACACCG
rnacentral:lncRNA from 1 species